GAUGAACGCUGGCGGCGUGCUUAACACAUGCAAGUCGAACGGAAAGGCUCCUGCUUGCAGGGGUACUCGAGUGGCGAACGGGUGAGUAACACGUGGGUGAUCUGCCCAGCACUUCGGGAUAAGCCUGGGAAACUGGGUCUAAUACCGGAUAGGACGAUGGUUUGGAUGCCAUUGUGGAAAGUUUUUUCGGUGUGGGAUGAGCUCGCGGCCUAUCAGCUUGUUGGUGGGGUAAUGGCCUACCAAGGCGUCGACGGGUAGCCGGCCUGAGAGGGUGUACGGCCACAUUGGGACUGAGAUACGGCCCAGACUCCUACGGGAGGCAGCAGUGGGGAAUAUUGCACAAUGGGCGCAAGCCUGAUGCAGCGACGCCGCGUGGGGGAUGACGGCCUUCGGGUUGUAAACUCCUUUCGCUAGGGACGAAGCGCAAGUGACGGUACCUGGGGAAGAAGCACCGGCUAACUACGUG
rnacentral:rRNA from 1 species